UUAAGUGAAUAGAGCAAACAGAGCCGCAAGUUGCCUGAAUGAAACAAUAUGAAGAAAUAAAAAUAUAGGGAUAGAAAUAAAAGACAGAAUUUACAAAAAAGUCAAUAUAGGACCAAUGACAUACACGGCAGAAAGACAUCCUGACGUAGAGAGGACAAAAAGAAGGCUAGAAACAACAAAGAUAAUGAACCCUUCGAAAAACCGAUGGGACAGAGCUAGAAGUACAGAUAUACGACGAAGAUGCAAGGUGGAUAACAUUAAUAACUGGGCAGUUAUGCUACGGACCAUUUAAAAUUAAUUACGAUUUUCGAUUCAUUCAAUUAUAUUUCAUUAAAAAUACCCCUCUAGAAAAUUCUUUGGAGACGCCUAUUUAAUCGCCUAGGUGCCUAUUUUCGCAGCGAAGCAAGAGGAAAGCACCGCGCAUGUUUCUAUCGGAUCGAUACGAAUCGAUUUCCGAUAACAUUGAAGAGCAGUUGGUCAGGAAACGGCUCGAAGGGCGGAUGGCGCGCCGCUAGUAAGGUUAUUCCCCCUUUUAAGUGACGGGAUUGAAACAAAUUUUCGAUGGAAAUCAAAUAAUUAGAAGGAAAUCAAGCGUCAGCUAAUCCCAUCUACAAAACUAGAUAACCAAAGUUAAACAUCUCUUUGGACUUCUUCACAUAACAGAAGUGGAUAUUCCGGCGUGCCUGCCUUGUUUCAAUCCCGUAACUUAGUUAUUUAGUCACACAACGUGACUCUAUCACGUUGAUUAUGUACUACCUAGUUAGAUUGCUAGCCACUCUGUGAUGGUUUAUCCCUAGAGUGGGCUGUUUUUGUUGGAUAAUACACCAUACCGGAUUUUAUUACAACCAGCAUCUUCACCCAGGACCUUGCAGUAGGACUUACUCACCACAGCAGCCAACCAUUUUAUCGUGCCAAAAGGGAAUUUCCUACGGAAUUCAUCUCUAUGGACUUGCAACCCUACUUUUAACCGACUGUUGUGUAAAAGCUAAGUUUAUUUACUUUUUCUGUAUUUACUUUUGGGUAAGAUAUAUUUGCUACAUUGUAAACUUUUCGUAUGCAUACGAUUAGGAAGAGUACAUAUAUUUUCGUGAUAGAUAGGGUUUUAGGUUGUUGUUUUUUUUUCUUUUUGAUUCAGUAUAAGUAGGAGUUAGUUAAAAUAAAUAAAAUCAGUCUUGUUUAAUAAUCAUAAAUAAUUGUAUUUUAAAAAUUUAAUAGGGAAUCGGGUUGUAAAAUUUUGUCGCGGAUUUUAAAUAGGGAAUACGUCUCGUAGGUUUUUUUUUUUGUAAAAUAUAUAAAGAGUCACUGACCAACUCAUUUAUAUAGACCUUUUUGCUAUUCCAACGGACUUUUGAUUUGGAUUUUGAUUUUAAUACUUUUGCUUGGCCAGUGAUAGUGGAUAAUUGCUUGUUGAGUGGACUUUGCGGUCCUAUUUUAUCUUUUCCCCAUCCACUAUCACUGUUAUUACGUUGCGUUAUAUGUAAAGUGUUAUUAUUUAAUAUUUAUUAUUAAUAUAUUUGUAUGUAUUAA